rnacentral:sRNA from 1 species
GGGUAACUUUACUGAUUUGGGGGUGGUUUUUAGUUUAAUUUUUCUUUUGUAGCUUCCCAUCGACGGUCAGUGCGCACGUUGUAAUCAGCUGAGGCCAUGUCAGGAGACGGAGCCACGGAGCAGGCAGCUGAGUAUGUCCCAGAGAAGGUGAAGAAAGCGGAAAAGAAAUUAGAAGAGAAUCCAUAUGACCUUGAUGCUUGGAGCAUUCUCAUUCGAGAGGCACAGAAUCAACCUAUAGACAAAGCACGGAAGACUUAUGAACGCCUUGUUGCCCAGUUCCCCAGUUCUGGCAGAUUCUGGAAACUGUACAUUGAAGCAGAGAAUCCACAACAGUUUGAAAAAAAAUUGUGAAUAUUUGCUUUGAAUACAACUUCUUGAGAAACUCAGCUGCUUUUCUAAGACUCAGGAAAGCAUAAUGUGGUUCCCUCAUCCACCAUUUCCUUUGGUUUUGGCUAUCGUGUAUGAAGAGAAUUUUUGA